AUUGGUCUUGCAUCACUGCCCCUAGGCGCUGGGUUUGUGGAUUUUCGCUUGGCUUCACAAACGGGCUCCCCUAGAGCCCAGUCUAUUGGCCUACAGUGGAGCAGUUCACGCACCCUAACCAGAAAUGUCCAGCUGGACUCCGAAUCGAGUUGUGUUGGCCGACACCAGGAAGAUGAUGAAGCCAUAAAGUGUAGUGAUGUGAAAAUUUUGAGUAAAUUUAAACCUAAAAGUGCCUAAAUUUUGAGUAAAUGAACCCAUUUCACACGUGAUGUCAUAAGUAAAAUACAAUAAAAGUAGAAUGAGAAUUAUACCAUCGAAGGUAAUCUCCUAUUCCAACAUUUUCCAAGAAUACUCGUCAAUACGAAAGAUCGGCCACUAAAACAUGGAGGGCCGAAAAAACAAAGGUGAGUGGGCCUAACAAUGAAGCUUUGUAAAAACCUUUUUGAAAAUGUAUAAACCCUCGCCAUAAAACAAGUAUAGUUUCCAAAUAUAACAUACUACGUAUAAUAUGAAAAUACUUACCAUAGUCAGCAAUAAGUCAAGAAUGCAAUACGUCACAAACUUUUGUAAAUAAACACAUGACGUUUGUAAACACAUAAUCUCGCAUAAGCAAACAUAUCAUAUUGAGUGCUCAUCGACAUAUGCUGACACACGAGUUCAUGCAGAGAUAAUCUAACAUGAACAUGACUGGGUGUAAUAAUGAUUUACGCUCUAGUACUACAAUCACGUGAAGACUGGCGCUAUGUACAUCACAUACGAGUUCUAAUUGCCUAUAUCAAUCUAGGACAAGAUUGGCACCUACAAUGGAUCCAAAGUGAGCGUGCGGUGUGAUGUGAACAUACAUGUGAAGCCUGGCCCUAACCCGGGCAAGUACUAACACCAGUGUAGCACAGGAUAAGCAAAUAACGUAAAUAAACUCAUACAUCGGUAAAUUAACAAUUCACGUCGACAUUCACGUCGACAUUACUAUUCAUUGUCGCAAAUAUAAUUAAGGCAUCCCGUAAUUAUAUGCAUACAUAUACAUCCCGUAGGAUUCAUAAUGAUCUCAUAAUUUUCAUCAUUGCGACAAUUCUUAUAAUGUUAAUUUAAUUAUGGCAUCACUUAUAAAAUGCAUUAUUAAUAUAUGUAUAGAAACUCAAAUAAUAUAUAUACUAUAUAAAAGAAAAGACCCGUUCACAGAUACUUGCGAAGUCGUUAUCGUUCGAACUAGAAAAGUGGAGUCUCUGAUAGUAACCCACCAACAUAAAGCCUAGAUGUGGUCGGAAAGUGACCAAAAAAAGCCUGUGAC
rnacentral:lncRNA from 1 species